UAUAAAAAAACAAAGGCAGCAGAAACAAAUGUAACACACUUUCAAAUAAAGUAAUAUUCCACAGUAUAAACAAACUUAACACAUCUUUGCCUAGUUAAAAUAAGAUUCCACAACAUACAAUUAUGAUCAUUAUGAUGCUGUUUUAACAUCAAUUUCAAUAACUUCUCAUGUUUCUUCCAUCUUCACUUUUCUACUUUGCAAAAGUCUCCACACAUAACGUUUAACACUCUGAUUGCUACAUAAAUCUUAUGUAUAAGGUUGUUUUUUCAGUACUGUAAUCUGGUCUGAUCCUUUAAUAAUUUAGAAGAUGAAUACUUGGUGAAAUCAUGUCAUUGUAUUUAAAGUUACUGUUUUCUCUGUACAAUCUUUCCAGAAUGAAGCUUUAAUUUGCAGUGUCUCCAGUAGAAUUUGAGUUAACCAAACUUUCUGCUAAUCCAUUUCGAUUUUAUUUCUUAUUUUAUGAAGCUAUCAAUAAAAUACAUUUAGGGAAUAUGUAAAAUGAAAGGUUUUGUCACUAAUAGUAGAGACAUGAAAAUAAAUUUAUAUUUCCAUUAACAUCAUAAGUUCAUGUCUAAAAAAUGUUUCAUUAAUGGCAUUCAAUCUCUUAAACAAACUCCACUCUGUGCUUUCAGAAAGCCCUUUAAACUAAUUUCACAAUUCUACCGUUGGUCUUCAAAUUCUGAACACAUUUGCCAUUUAAACUGCUUCUUCUCCUUGACCUGGACUAAUUAUUGCUUUGUCCCAAUUCCUAAAUACAAACAUGUGGGGGUCAUCUUAGACUCACUUAAGACAGUCUCGUGUGCCAUUAAUGAGAAUGGUGGUUAUCAUAACCACUGUGGAGAACAGUGUAGGGGGACUUGGAAAACUUAAUAAAGCUACUGUGUGACCCCGCAAUCCCACGGCUUUUGAAAGAAAGAAAACUGUAUGUGACAGGGGCAUCUGCGUGUCGACAUCCAUUUUGCCUUUCUUGGCAAUAGUCAAGACACGGAAUCAACUUCAGUGUCUAUCAGUGCACGAAUGGAUCCAGAAAAUGUGAGACAAAUUGGUGAUAUGAAAGCCCUCCACUCAGGGCUCAGAGAACCCCACAGAAGCAGAAGCAGAGUGUCAGAGCCAGAGAGGAUGGACAACACCAAGAACACAAGGCCCUCUAAAUCAACAUGAUCAAAGCUUGUAUGAACUCACAGAGACUGAAGCAGCAAGCUUGGGGCCUCCACAGAACCUUCAUCCUGCAGUUGAUGGAAGCAGAUGCAGAGAUCCACAGCUAAACACUGAACCGAGCUUCUGGAGACCAGUCUAAUAGAGGGGGGAGCGACAAUGCAUGAAUUACUCAGCACCAGGAACUAGCAAGCUCAGAAGAACAGGAAAUGCCGCGUGUCCACCACCACCACACAGAAACCGCUUACAGCAAGACUGGCUACACUGCCCAUUGUUCACAGGUCAAUGGAGUCUGGACAGAACUGUCGACAAAUCGAUGUAACACAGUCUCCAGGGAAGAAAGGCAGCUGGUCUCUACCACGUCAAGCCAACCAUGUGCCAAGAAAUUAAUACUGUUGAACAGACAAGUUGGGUUUCUUUUUUAUUUCUGUCUUAAUUAUUUUUAAUGGUAUGUCUGCAUAUGUAUACCUGAAUAUGAGUGCCCAUGAAGGCCAAAAGUAUAAGUUCUCCCCGGAGCUGGUGUUACACAGUUUGUAGCCACCAGAUGUGGUUGCUAGGAAUCUCUGAAAGAGAUUCUGAACCUCUGAAAAAGCAGCAUGCAUUCUUAACAACUGAACCACCAAUCCAGCCUCUAGAAUUUUUCUUUCUUUCUUUCCUUUUCUUUUUACAUGUAAAAUGCCAUAGCCAUGAAAUCUACUGUGGUCCAUAAUUAUAGGCAUUUCUAGAUAGCCUAAUCUGGGUAUCAAACGAACUGAGUUUUUCUGUGAAAGGAAAAUAUACCUGUCAAGACCCAAAGCCAGCAUUAUUGGUUAAUACUACAGUGUGCUCAAUAUCAUUCUUUGCUUGAGAAACCGUACUGUUUCAGGACUCAUAAGCUGUGAAACCAGACAUCUGCAUCCUUCUUCAGACUCAGCUACCAAAAGUGUGGUACCCAGAAGAGAAUCGAAAUCAUCCUACCUCAUAGUCAUCACAGUUAGGAACAGAAAAUUCAAUAUAUGUCUUUUCUAGGAAGGAGUCAAUAAAUAGCAGUGAUUAGAACCAAAAGACAGACACCGAGGCCAUUAGACUCAGAAACUGGGUCAUCAGUGACAGGGAGCAACACGAGAUUUUCAUGGCAGGGUAUAAUUUUCUUUUGUUGAAAGUAAUGAUUCAUGAUUUGAUAUCAGCUAUUCCGUGGUUUUCUUACUCCUCAUACAUGAUUUCCUUCCCAUAUCUGAAACACCAGGAGGAUAACUAUGCAUGUCACUCCCUGGACACUUCUGACAUCAACCUGGGGGGCAGUUCCACUUCCCAGUGGGAGGUUCAGUCACAAAGACGAUACUUUUCUAUAGUAGAACAGCAAGGUCAUAAAAAACCACGAAUUUCUCAAUUUUCAGAUUAAUUGAAUGACUUCCAUCUGUGUCUUCAUAGGCUUUUCAUAUUUUUUCCAGUAGAACAUACUAAAAACAUUAAAUGCUGAUGGCAGAUAUUUUCUUAGUUGCCCCAGGCCAAUAACCUGUUCCGUAGAGUCUGAGUUUUUGAGAAUGCAUGCAUUAACUUAAAGGGUCUGUGGUUUGGAAUGAAUCUGAAUGGGACCUCAAGAAAAUGCGGCCAGCAGUCCACCCUCCCCGUGCCUCCUGUAACAGCACAGUAGGCCCUGUGUCCUUGCUAAGGUUACUUAUGCGCUUUGCUGUCACUCACAAACAUUACCAUCAACACAUGACAGUUUUUAUCCUGUACUGGGCAUAUUUCUGUUCUCUCUCUACACAAAUUUGAAAUCUACGAGAAGCGAGACAUUAUUCAUUAUGAAAUCCUUACAUCCUUUAUGUAUAGGAGUAAAACAUGUAGUAAAUAUUUAUUGAUCAAAUAAAUGCAAUUUAUUUUCU